rnacentral:tRNA from 1 species
GGGCGCGUAGCUCAGCUGGAAGAGCAUCGGUCUCCAAAACCGAAGGCCGCGGGUUCGAGUCCUGCCGCGCCUGCCC